AUAGCAAUGCCUCCUCCCUUGGAGAUCUCAGCAGUUCCUUCUAAUAAAGCAAGACAGCUCCACUCAAGCUCCGGGAGCAGCGGGUUUAGAUGGGCACCGCUCUGGCUGAAUGAGUAGAUUAUUAGCCUUCAUGCUACCUCCAUGAGCGAGUGGGUAGGAGGCUUCACUGCCUGCUUUUCACAGAUGCACACGGCAGAUUCCAGAAACAUUACACCAUGGUCCUGCUCUUCUGAUGUUCAAGGUAGCAGAACAUCACACAUGAUCCAGCAGAGACUGCAGAACAUCACACAUGAUCCAGCAGAAGACGGCAGAACAUCACACAUGAUCCAGCAGAGACUGCAGAACAUCACACAUGAUCCAGCAGAGAGAGACUGACUGAGCAAGCCCUGUUGAGGACAUCUCCUGAAUGAGCCUCCAUAUUCUCCAUCCAGUUACCUAGGGGAUGACACCAUAGCCUGGGCCCUGCUGUACCCAGAGACAGAACAAGACAGAGCUGUGUCAUGAACAAAAAGUGUGAGCACAUGGUUGACUGGUUUUGAAGGCAUGAGGGAUACAAGAUUGAGGUGAUCCUGGAGUCUUGUUUUAUGGCUUUGGAGAGCAACUGAGGCCAGAAAGUCACUGAGAAGAGACCCUGAGAGGUCACUGUGUGAAGUUGCAAAGAUGAAGCCCAAAUCCAAUGACGGUGGAGAUGCCAGACUAGAGAGCAGCCACUAAGGAAAGCUACAGGCAUGAAAUGAAGCUGGUUUAAGAAGACGACUAUGUAUGCUGUGAGUCUUGGCAGAGCUUGAGAGAUGGGGGGCUACCUAAGCACUUCAGAGCCUAACCAGUUUCAUCAUGAGUCCAAGAUGCCAGACAUGGAGCCCCAGGCUUGGUUCCUCUUUGCUGAGCUUUGGACUUGCUUUGAUCUGUUCAUUGCUUACAGUGCUCAAGUUUCCCUAUUUUAAAAUAGGAUGGUUUGCUUUGUGCUCUUAUAUAUAUGAUUUAUAUGUAGGAAGCAUAUGACUUGUUGAAGAUAUUACAGGAAUUCAGUUAGGAGGUUGCUUUGCGUCUUGGGCGAGACUUGGAUUUUGUAGUCUUGAACAGUGCUGGGUCUUAUUAAAAGCUAUAGGGACUCCUGAGGUUGAACUGAAUAUAUUUUGUCUGACUCCAAGCUUAUGGAGUCAAACAUGAAAAGUUGUGCCUUAGAAGUUUAGGUGUCACACAGACAUGAGGUAGAGUCUCGGUGAUUGGUGUUAUCAAUUUGACAGGAUCUAGACCUACACAGGAGACAAGUUUCCAGGAACACACAUGAGGGGUUAUCUUGGGUGAGUGAAAAAGCUGGAAUGACCUACCCUAAGUGUGGGUGACACCAUUUUCUGCUCGGUCCUGAGCUGAAUAAAAUGGGGUGUGGCUAACUGAGCCUGAACAUUGCUGUUUCCUGACUGCACAUAUACUGUGCACCAAUUUGACCCACUGCCUCAGACACCUGCUGCCAGGUCUGCCCUACCAUCAUAGACUGCACCCUGAACUGGGAGCCAAAUGAACUCUUCCUUGCUCAGGUGAUUUUAGACAGGUGUUUUGUAGCAGCCAGCAAUACAGAUAUAGUUAUCGUUAAGCACUGUACGUUUAUCACAUUAAGACUGUUUGAAUUCUGGAGCUGCAGAGUUUCCCAAAUAGUACCCACCUUCGUGCCGAUGGUCCCAAAGAAUUACCUUUCUCCUCUAAAACCUCCCCCCUAAAUUAUAAAAUUUGACAACUUUUAUAGGCAAGUCUUGACAUCCAUUUUCUGUACUAACUUUCCCCAAUCUUUCUUUUCUCCUCUCAGUCUUUAUUUCUUCCUUAUUUUUGCAUUGCUGAAGCUUAGAACAUCUAUAGUCGAUUCUGAAAUUACAUUCCCCACCCUGUUUUUCAGUUGAAAUGAAAAUCUACAAAUCUUCACAGAGCAUUUGCAUAACUGUGACCCCCUGGACAUUUCAUCAAGCCAGGCCAGGUGAUUUGCAAACUUUGUGUUUCUUUCUUUGCCAGUUCAAGGUCAUGACCUCAGACACAUAAGAGAGUAUUGCAAACUGAUGAUAAAGUCCUUCCUUUUUUGAGACUGUUUUGAGAUAGAGUCUUCUUGUGUGACCUCACAUUCAGUCUUUACCAGAGUGUCCUUGAACUCAGGCUCCUUGACCUACCUCUUUUCUGUACUGGGGUUAAAGAGUCUAUCACUGCACAGUGGGGUUGCCUCUCAUCUUGUAUAGUUGAUCACAGCUGUACUUUCUUUUUAUUUUUGUUCUUAUUUUGACCCUGAUUGUCUUUUCAUGCAUUUUAGAUAGCUCCUUUUCCCUAUUAGUGACAAGAAAAAAUGGACUUUUACAUUGUGGUCUCAGUAUCAUGCAUUCUGUUCAUGUGUCUUGGUUAAGGUUUUACUGCU